UACGAAGGGGGCUAGCGUUGCUCGGAAUUACUGGGCGUAAAGGGUGCGUAGGCGGGUCUUUAAGUCAGAGGUGAAAUCCUGGAGCUCAACUCCAGAACUGCCUUUGAUACUGAGGAUCUUGAGUUCGGGAGAGGUGAGUGGAACUGCGAGUGUAGAGGUGAAAUUCGUAGAUAUUCGCAAGAACACCAGUGGCGAAGGCGGCCCACUGGAUCGGUACUGACGCUGAGGUGCGAAAGCGUGGGGAGCAAACAGG
rnacentral:rRNA from 1 species